rnacentral:rRNA from 1 species
CCUGCCCAAGAGAUCGGGAUAACACCUGGAAACAGAUGCUAAUACCGGAUAACAACAGAUGAUGUCUAUCAACUGUUUAAAAGAUGGUUCUGCUAUCACUCUUGGAUGGACCUGCGGUGCAUUAGCUAGUUGGUAGGGUAACGGCCUACCAAGGCGAUGAUGCAUAGCCGAGUUGAGAGACUGAUCGGCCACAUUGGGACUGAGACACGGCCCAAACUCCUACGGGAGGCAGCAGGC